GUGAAAGCCCGAGGCUUAACCUCGGGUCUGCAGUCGAUACGGGCUAGCUAGAGUGUGGUAGGGGAGAUCGGAAUUCCUGGUGUAGCGGUGAAAUGCGCAGAUAUCAGGAGGAACACCGGUGGCGAAGGCGGAUCUCUGGGCCAUUACUGACGCUGAGGAGCGAAAGCGUGGGGAGCGAACAGGAUUAGAUACCCUGGUAGUCCACGCCGUAAACGGUGGGAACUAGGUGUUGGCGACAUUCCACGUCGUCGGUGCCGCAGCUAACGCAUUAAGUUCCCCGCCUGGGGAGUACGGCCGCAAGGCUAAAACUCAAAGGAAUUGACGGGGCCCGCACAAGCGGCGGAGCAUGUGGCUUAAUUCGACGCAACGCGAAGAACCUUACCAAGGCUUGACAUACACCGGAAAGCAUUAGAGAUAGUGCCCCCCUUGUGGUCGGUGUACAGGUGGUGCAUGGCUGUCGUCAGCUCGUGUCGUGAGAUGUUGGGUUAAGUCCCGCAACGAGCGCAACCCUUGUUCUGUGUUGCCAGCAUGCCCUUCGGGGUGAUGGGGACUCACAGGAGACCGCCGGGGUCAACUCGGAGGAAGGUGGGGACGACGUCAAGUCAUCAUGCCCCUUAUGUCUUGGGCUGCACACGUGCUACAAUGGCCGGUACAAUGAGCUGCGAUACCGUGAGGUGGAGCGAAUCUCAAAAAGCCGGUCUCAGUUCGGAUUGGGGUCUGCAACUCGACCCCAUGAAGUCGGAGUCGCU
rnacentral:rRNA from 1 species